rnacentral:rRNA from 1 species
AACGAACGCUGGCGGCAGGCCUAACACAUGCAAGUCGCACGAGAAAGGGAGCAAUCCCCGGUACAGUGGCGCACGGGUGAGUAACACGUAGAUGACCUUCCCUGGAGUGGUGGAUAACCUGCCGAAAGGCGGGCUAAUACAGCAUGGGACCACAUGGUUUUUGACCGAGUGGUGAAAGCGGGCCUCUGUUCACAAGCUCGCGCUCUGGGAUGGGUCUGCGUCCCAUCAGCUAGUUGGUGAGGUAAUGGCUCACCAAGGCAUCGACGGGUAGCUGGUCUGAGAGGAUGAUCAGCCACACUGGGACUGAGACACGGCCCAGACUCCUACGGGAGGCAGCAGUGGGGAAUAUUGGACAAUGGGCGCAAGCCUGAUCCAGCAAUGCCGCGUGUGUGAAGAAGGCCUGCGGGUUGUAAAGCACUUUCAGUGGG